GAUGAGAUGGCCGAGUGGUUAAGGCACCAGACCAAGACACCGGGACAUCGAGGCGUAAUAGCGCUGAGAUGUCCAGGUAAUCUGGUCCGAAAGGGCGUGGGUUCGAAUCCCACUCUCAUCA